GUUAAGAAGCCUCCCCUGACAGCUUCACACAGACCUGUCAGACCGCUCUCAUCAGCUGGACUGUCUCUGAGGGCCUGAAACGCCUCGGGCUUUUUCACGAGGCACAGUGUCAGAGUUAAUCACUGCUGCUGAUACCAGAGUAGUAAAGUUUAAAGAGAAAGUGUCGUCCGUGUCCUCCAUGAUCUCUGCUGCUCUCUCAGCCCUCGCCCUCUCACUGGCCGGGAUGUAGUUGUCCUCGAUGAAGCCGUCAUCGUCUUCCUCUGUCUCAAGAGGCCUACAGUCACGGUUAACUCCAUGUCCACUCUGCAGGGCAAACUCCACCUCCUGACCUGGAGGGAGUAACAGAUACAACACAACAAUGACUCAAAGGAAGAAGAAGCUACGCAGCCCCUGAUGAAGGCGGGUGAAGUGCCAGCUGUUCAGGCGAAGCACAGCAAAAUAUACACACCAAGCAGCACAGGACCGGCAGCACUGAGAGAGAGAAGCCUUGGAGCUUGGAAUGUAUGUGUGUCAGAUGUAGUAGUGUUUGUGAGCUCUACUCUGCUACUGUACAUUUGUUUAAGUUUGUAUGUGAGAAGGCUUGUGAAGGAGGAUUCUCAGUUAUUCUUUGUUUCAGUGCUCCAAAUUGUGGGUUGAGUGUCAGUUUUCAGACACUAAUGAUGGCCACGGGGCGGAAAAUGUUCUUUCUGCCAUCAAACUGAAUUAA